GGUCAACACCAGGCCGAAACACACUCCGAGGACAAAGUAAAGCCCAAAGCUCUCCGGAUUGGCUGCAGAGGAGACACAUACAAGCCAUGAUUUCCCAGAUCUGAAUUCUGUUCAAUGCCUAAAUGCAAACCCACGACUUCUUGGGGGUGGGUGGUGUGAGACCUCCAAGUCUUCAACAAAAGCUUCUCUGUGGCUUCGUGUGGGAUCAUUGUAAUAUAUUUAGAAAAAUUGUCUCUGAACCAUGACUCUUAUUCAAUGCCUUGUGAAAGUAUUCAUGCACCUUGAACUUUUCCAGUUACAAGAACAGACUUCACUGCAUUUCAUCAAAUUUUAUGCACAAAGAAGUGCAUAACUUUAAAAUGGAGAGAAAACAGUGUGGCUUCCAUUAUCUUUUUAAUAACAAAGAAAAUAAAUAAUUUAAUAUUUUUUCUGCCUCACUAUUAUGCAUUACUUUGUGUUGGCCUAGCACUUAAUAUUCCCCCAAAAUACAGUAAAAUUUAUGACUGUAGUGGGACAAAAUGUACAAAAGAUUCAAUGACUUUCAAAACAUAGUAAAUCAGGUAAAGUUCAUUCUUCCAAGUGGUCAGACAGACCUCCUAUGGAUCAGAUAAGACUCCAAGAUGAAUUUGAAAUGAAAAUGUUGUAUUGUUUGGAGGUUGUGUCCCUGACAUUCAAGUGGUCUAUCCUUCCUGCCAGCCUUUCAGUCUGGCGAGCUCUAUUGUGUUUGUCUCCAUUCAUUACGUGCUCUCAUGACUUUUAACACUCUUUAGGAAGUCUUCACUCCUAAAGAAAAAGAUUCACAAAGAAGCCAUGGAGUCGUGAAGGUUCAUUCUCUUUUGAUGCACAAAUUUUAAUGUCCAGCAAUCCUGGUCUGGUGUUUUGUAGGAAGUACAUUUUGUCCUUUCAAAACCACAAUGUUUGUUAUAUUCACCAUCAUUGUUUAUCAUCAUUUUGAAAGUGGAUCUAUUCCUUGAUUUCUUCACUCAGUAGCACUGUGCUGCUGACUGGAUUUUCUCAGAAACUUCACCAUUUUGCAAAGUUUUCUGACCUGAUUACAUCAUAAUCUCGCUCCAUGAAGGUUACCAGACAGUCACCUCAAACUGACUUGUAUUUCGAAGAUAGUUUGUUGAGUAUUUACCACAUAAAAAACAAAGCUAAUUGACUGCUAUGAGGCACUAAUAUAUAGACGCAGCUUAAAGGGAUGAGUUGUUGAAACAUAUUGAUCUCUGCAUUAAACCGAAAUCAGUCAAAAGAUUACUGUAAAAGUGAACUGCUGGUGGGGAGUUUUUUUUAGUAUCUGACGUCAGAACACUGAUCUGGAAAUGACACUAAAACUCGGAGAUCCACUUGGAUUUUCCAAAUGUUGUACUCAGUAAUAAUAAAUAACAUUCAUUAUA